CAGCUCAAAAGUGUUUAGCCUCAUUGUGUGCUUUGAGGCUCUUAUACUCAACUGAAUCCCCAGCCCCAAGCAUAAGGAGAUGGCUGCAAAGUAGCAGCAAGUUGGCGACAUCAAGAGUCCCUGUGGAUAAAGUAUCACCGUAUGGCACUCUGCGGUGGCUGAAUGUCAACGUAACUUAGGUUGACUUAAUUUGGUAGAGUAAACUUGCCCUUAACUGAGGCCAGGAUUUCAUCUGACGUCUGCAGUGCUAUUCCACAUACCUAGUGUAUGUCCUUAUUGAUGUACACACAUGAAAAAUGACACAACAGCUCACAGCAGCAAGGCAAUUAGUGCAUCAGUGGAGCUGGAAGAAGAAAAGGCAUCAAGCAAAGCUUGUAAUUUCUUCCAUACUGUGGCAAACCAUUAAAACCAACUUUCUGUAAAAUACAAUUGAACCACACUCUCCUUUAUAUUUUCUCUUGCAUCACUGCUGCUUACCAACAUAUAGACUAGUCCUGUUCCGCCUAGUCCUGUGAAAUAUACAGUAUGUUAAGCUAAUUGUCUUAGAUCUGAUUAGCCCUGCUCUGCGAAUGGCCAUCAUUCGGAAAAAGUGACCAUUUGCCACCCCCAAAGCUUGAUAGUGCAGCUUCCGUCUCUCCUAUUAACUGCCAUACACAAGGUGGGCUAGGUUCUCUUCAAAUGCAAAAUAAAGGCAAGUCAAAGGAAAAAACAAAAGCAGUGUGGCUAUUUGCAGUGAAAUAAAUAUUUUAGCAAAGGA